rnacentral:lncRNA from 1 species
CCUGCCCAAAAUCCUCUUUGUGACACUUGGGGUGGGGACAGUUCCCAUUUUCCCUCCCCAAAUCCCCAUUUUCCCACCCCAAAUCCCCAUUUUCCCCUCGGGAAGGUGCUCAGCACCCUCGCGACUCAUCCUGCACCCUCGGGAUGGUGCUCAGCACCCUCGGGACGGUGCUCAGCACCCUUGGGACGCAUCCUGCACCCUCGGGAUGGUGCUCAGGACCCACAGGGAGACCUAGAACCUCAGCACCGCUCAGCACCAGUCAGGAUAGUGUGGAACCUCAUGGGAUGGAUCCAGAACCUUCUGGAAGGCACACAGCACCCUCGGGACGAAUCCAGAACCUUCUGGAAGGCGCUCAGCACCUUCUGGAAGGCUCUCAGCACCCUCGGGACCCAUCCAACACCUUCUGGAAGGUGCUCAGCACCCUCGGGACUCAUCCUGCACCCUUGGGAUGGUGCUCAGCACCCUUGGGAUGGUGCUCAGCACCCUCGGGACUCAUCCUGCACCCUCGGGAUGGUGCUCAGAACACUCGAGACUCAUCCUGCACCUUCGGGACUUAUCCUGCAUAUUUGGGAUGGUGCUGAGCAUCCUCGGGACUCAACCUGCACUGUCAGGACUCAUCCUGCACCCUCGCGACUCAUCCUGCACCCUCGGGACGGUGCUCAGCACCCUCGGGACGGUGCUCAGCACCUUAGGGAUGGUGCUCAGCACCCUCUGGACUUAUCCUGCACCAUUGGGAUGGUGCUGAGCACCCUCGGGACAGUGCUCAGCACCCUCGGGAUGGUGCUCCUCACCGUUGGGACUCAUCCUGCACCCUCGAAACGGUGCUCAGCACCUUCGGCACUCAUCCUGCACCUUCGGGACUCAUUCUGUGACAGUGACAGUGCCACCCCCUGUCCCCAGGUGACGUUUGACAACCUCGCCCACAGCGGGCGAGUGAGGAUCUGCCUGGACACCCUCGUGGCCAUCUGGGAGUGCCACCACCCCUCGCUGCCUGGCACAGGUGACAGCGGGUGACAAUGGGUGACAAUGGGUGACAGUGGGCUGUGUGGGUGUCCCCUGGGAGUGCCACCACCCUGCCAUGCCUGGCAGAGGUGACACCAUGGUGGCACCUGGCCCCAAAGGUGACCCUGGAUGUCCCCAGGCCUUGGGAAGUGACCCCAGGUGUCCCGGAGGGUGACCCCAGGUGUCCCCAAAGGUGACCCCUAGUGUCCCCAAGGGUGACCCCAGAUGUCCCCAAAGGUGACCCCUAGUGUCCCCGAGGGUGUCCCCAGGCGUCCCUGAGGGUGACCCCGGGUAUCCCUGAGGAUGUCCCCAGGUGUCCCCAAAGGUGUCCCCAGGUAUCCCCAAAGGUGUCCCCAGGUGUCCCUGAGGAUGUCUCCAGGUGUCCCCAAAGGUGACCCCGGGUGUCCCAAAGGUGUCCCCGAGGGUGUCCCCGGGUGUCCCUGAGGGUGACCCCGGCUGUCCCCGAGGUGACCCCGGCUGUCCCCGUCCCCACAGGUGGACGCCUGGCGUUUGACGUGUUGGUGACAGC